rnacentral:rRNA from 1 species
AAUGAACGCUGGCGGCAGGCCUAACACAUGCAAGUCGAACGAGUGGCGGACGGGUGAGUAAUGUCUGGGAAACUGCCUGAUGGAGGGGGAUAACUCCUGUAAACGGUAGCUAAUACCGCAUACCAUCAGAUGUGCCCAGAUGGGAUUAGCUAGUUGGUGGGGUAACGGCUCACCAAGGCGACGAUCCCUAGCUGGUCUUAGAGGAUGACCGGCCACACGGGACCUGAGACACGGUCCAGAAUCCUACGGGAGGCAGCAGUGGGGAAUAUUGCACAAUGGGCGCAAGCCUUAUGCAGCCAUGCCGCGUGUAUGAAGAAGGCCUUCGGGUUUUAAAGUACUUUCAGCGGGGAGGCGUUACCCGCAGAAGAAGCACCGGCUAACUCCGUGCCAGCAGCCGCGGUAAUAC